UACGUAGGGUCCGAGCGUUGUCCGGAUUUAUUGGGCGUAAAGAGCUCGUAGGCGGUUCCGUAAGUCAGAUGUGAAAACUCAGGGCUCAACCCGGAGACGCCAUCUGAUACUGCGGUGACUGGAGUCUGGUAGGGGAUCACGGAAUACCUGGUGUAGCGGUGAAAUGCGCAGAUAUCAGGUGGAACACCGAUGGCGAAGGCAGUGAUCUGGGCCAGUACUGACGCUGAGGAGCGAAAGCGUGGGGAGCGAACGGG
rnacentral:rRNA from 1 species